rnacentral:rRNA from 1 species
GCCUGACGCAGCGACGCCGCGUGCGGGAUGAAGGCCUUCGGGUCGUAAACCGCUGUCGGGAGGGACGAAAUCAAUGACGGUACCUCCAAAGGAAGCACCGGCUAACUCUGUGCCAGCAGCCGCGGUAAUACAGAGGGUGCGAGCGUUGUCCGGAAUCACUGGGCGUAAAGGGCGCGUAGGCGGCCUGAUAAGUAGGGGGUGAAAUCCUGCGGCUCAACCGCAGGGCUGCCUUCUAGACUGUCAGGCUUGAGCACAGUAGAGGCAGGUGGAAUUCCCGGUGUAGCGGUGGAAUGCGUAGAGAUCGGGAAGAACAUCGGUGGCGAAGGCGGCCUGCUGGGCUGUUGCUGACGCUGAGGCGCGACAGCGUGGGGAGCAAACAGGAUUAGAUACCCUGGUAGUCCACGCCGUAAACGAUGGGUACUAGGCGUCGGGGGGAGCGACCCCCUCGGUGCCGUCGUUAACACAGUAAGUACCCCGCCUGGGGAGUACGGCCGCAAGGCUG